GAAAUUUUAAAAAGGGAGAAAGAGAGACUGGGAAAAGAAAAGGAGGAUCUUCAGAAGAAUUAUGGCAAGAUUAAUCCAUUUAUCUCAAUAUUCUUUUUAUUAAACUAUUGUAUUGAAUUUCAUGAGUUCAUGAGCUGAAAUACAAACUACACUUUUCACUCUUUUCUGUUUUAGACAGUUUAAAAGGCGAGAAUGAGAGACAGAGAGAAGAAAAGGAGGAUCUUCAGAAGCAAAAUGGCAAGAUUAAUACAUUCAUCUCAAUAUUCUUUUUAUUAAACUACUUAAAUUAUUCUAUUUUUGAGCCAGAACACAAACUAAACUUUUCACUCUUUUCUGUUUUAGAUAUUUUAAGAAGAGAGAAAGAGAGACUGGUAAAAGAAAAUGAGGCUCUUCAGAAGAAUUAUG